CACGCCCCACUUUAAUGUGCCAAAUGAAUGGAUAAGGAUGAUUGGUUGGCCAUUCACAUUCAAAAUAAAGUUUGAAUUUGAAUGGGCAAUCAAUCUUUGCACCUUAUCCCUUUUUUUAUGCCUCAUUUAUUACUUGAGAAAAGGUUUCUCAUGAAAUCACUCCAUGCACAAUAUAAGCCAUGCCUCAUGCCUUUAGUGGAUAAGGGAUGAGUUGGUGUCCAUUUGAAUUCAAAAUUUAAUUUGAAUUCAAAUGUGCA
rnacentral:lncRNA from 1 species